rnacentral:rRNA from 1 species
GACGUAGGGCGCGAGCGUUGUCCGGAUUUAUUGGGCGUAAAGAGCGCGUAGGCGGUCCGAUAAGUCGGCUGUGAAAGUCAGGGGCUCAACCCUUGAAAGCCGGCCGAUACUGUCGGACUAGAGUCCGGAAGAGGCAAGUGGAAUUCCCGGUGUAGCGGUGAAAUGCGCAGAUAUCGGGAGGAACACCUGCGGCGAAGGCGGGUUGCUGGGCCGACACUGACGCUGAGGCGCGAAAGCCAGGGGAGCGAACGGG